GAUGCUAAUACCGCAUAAAACCUAACACCGCAUGGUGUAGGGUUGAAAGAUGGUUUCGGCUAUCACUUUAGGAUGGACCCGCGGUGCAUUAGUUAGUUGGUGAGGUAAAGGCUCACCAAGACCGUGAUGCAUAGCCGACCUGAGAGGGUAAUCGGCCACACUGGGACUGAGACACGGCCCACACUCCUACGGGAGGCAGCAGUAGGGAAUCUUCCACAAUGGACGAAAGUCUGAUGGAGCAACGCCGCGUGAGUGAAGAAUGUUUUCGGAUCGUAAAACUCUGUUGUUGGAGAAGAAUGUAUCUGAUAGUAACUGAUCAUGUAGUGACGGUAUCCAACCAGAAAGCCACGGCUAACUACGUGCCAGCAGCCGCGGUAAUACGUAGGUGGCAAGCGUUGUCCGGAUUUAUUGGGCGUAAAGCGAGCGCAUGCGGUUUCUUACGUCUGAUGUGAAAGCCUUCGGCUCAACCGAAGAAGUGCAUCGGAGACUGGGAAACUUGAGUGCAGAAGAGGACAGUGGAACUCCAUGUGUAGCGGUGAAAUGCGUAGAU
rnacentral:rRNA from 2 species